AUUAGAUGCAACUCAACUAUUAAAACUUUCUAUAUUUUGAAGAAAUUCAACUUUUUUCUGAAUUUCUCCUGUUGGGCUCCCGGCUGCGUGAGCAGGUGGGCGUGUCCGUCGGCCUGCGUGCGGCGGUACCUCAGCCCUGCAGCGGCGCCGCCGGGGCGCCCGAGCAGUGGAAGUGGACGUUCUGCCACCGGCUGUCCCUGCGGUGCCACACCCUCGUCUCCUCCGAUUGGCUGGAGCGCGGGCGGCCCUGGCUGUCCACGAACUGCGUCAGGCGGAUGUAGGCGAUGCAGGCGGCGUCCUCCCCGAUCAUGUGCACGUGGGGGUUGAGGAUGGUGGUGUGGAUGGGUUUGCUGUUCUUGGAAAGGACUGACAGAGAAACAGCCCGUCAGCUCAACGCCGUCCCACGGCGAGACAGAACCAACAAGGUUAAUGUCACUGGAGACGACACGCAGGCGUGAUCCAUAAAGAGAGACGCCAUAUUGGAAUGGUAUAAAAACAACGAGACGGUUUGGCAGAACCAGGAAAACGACCAUAAAAUGAUUCAUUUUGGUCUGAUUUUAAAAAAAGGAAAAAACUCUGAUGAUGAAGUAAUAAUUCUUAGGUCAUGGUGAUAAUGUUUUGGUAUAAAAUGGAACAAUAAACGAUAUUUCAAACUUUUUCAAAGAUAAAUAGAUUAUUAUAUAUGAAA